CUCAAAUGAAUUGACGGGGGCCCGCACAAGCGGUGGAGCAUGUGGUUUAAUUCGAUGCAACGCGAAGAACCUUACCUACUCUUGACAUCCAGAGAACUUAGCAGAAAUGCUUUGGUGCCUUCGGGAACUCUGAGACAGGUGCUGCAUGGCUGUCGUCAGCUCGUGUUGUGAAAUGUUGGGUUAAGUCCCGCAACGAGCGCAACCCUUAUCCUUUGUUGCCAGCGAUUCGGUCGGGAACUCAAAGGAGACUGCCAGUGAUAAACUGGAGGAAGGUGGGGAUGACGUCAAGUCAUCAUGGCCCUUACGAGUAGGGCUACACACGUGCUACAAUGGCAUAUACAAAGAGAAGCGACCUCGCGAGGGCAAGCGGACCUCAUAAAGUAUGUCGUAGUCCGGAUUGGAGUCUGCAACUCGACUCCAUGAAGUCGGAAUCGCUAGUAAUCGUAGAUCAGAAUGCUACGGUGAAUACGUUCCCGGGCCUUGUACACACCGCCCGUCACACCAUGGGAGUGGGUUGCAAAAGAAGUAGGUAGCUUAACCUUCGGGAGGGCGCUUACCACUUUGUGAUUCAUGACUGGGGUGAAGUCGUAACAAGGUAAC
rnacentral:rRNA from 1 species